AGAGAGAGAGAGGGGGGCCCUAUAGAAACAGGGGCAGCACCAGAAGAUGGUCAGAUCUGGGACCAGGAUAUCAGAAGGCCAUUGAGAGGUUUGGACUACAGGUUAUUCCACAGAGAAUAUCUGGUAGGUAGGUACAGACAUGAUGCAGAGAAUAUCUGGUAGGUACAAACAAGAAGUGUUCCCGGUGGAUAGGUUACAUACUACAUCGUCAUUACUCCCACUCCAUGCAGUCCACAGCUUAAAUAAUUAGAGAGUCCGUUUAGAGUCUUGACUGAGGUUCCAGGAAUACUGGACAUUCCGGAAUCUUGAAGGCGACAGCGAGUUAAAGGCAGGCGUUGGAAAAAUGGCAAUAAGAAAAGCAAUAACUUAACUUUCUAUGCUUUCCUCGCUUAGUUGUAUUCUUUUUGCAGCUGAAUUAACGUUGUGCGUGCAUAUAAAUAUAUACUUAUAUCGGCCUGUGCAUUCGAGAGAGAGAGAGAGAGAGGGGAAAAAAGAAGGGCUUGUAAUUCACAUGUGGAUAUUGGAUACGGAAAUUAUACAGAAUAGGGUUGUUGUCAACAAUGGAGUCAAGUGCGUUGCUAAAUAUCUCAAUGUAGAAAUGCAGUAUUGCCGAAGCCCAACAAAGCAAGUGCAACGUCAUAUCAUCUCAUCACCUCAUUUAAACCUUAAAGAGUUGGACUUCCAAUGGAGAAAAUGGGUAGAAAUAUGAACAAAUAACAAACACUUAUCGGUUGUAUGAAUUUCCCUACAAUAAAGAUUGAAUUGAUUUCAACGUUAUUAUGACUGAAGGUAUCUGUUACCAGCCUCCAAACAGUCACGGUUAAGAGAGUGGACAUGAAUUGAAUAAACUUUAUUGAUCCUCAGAAGAGAAAUCACGCUGCAUAAAGAUGGACAAUCAGCAUUGUUACAGAUGUAUAUUGCACGCCCUGCUCUUAGCUUCUUAUAGUUCUGUUCAAAAAAAUAACGCUCUUCUUCAAUAUUCAAAUGGCCUGAAUUUCAUUAUUAUUGGAAGUUUUUUUUUAACCUUCUGUGUUAAUAUAGCAUUACUCCCUAGCCUGGUCCCAGACAAUGACCACAGGAGUUGGCCAAGAAAGCACAAACACAUCAGGGAGCCAGGCUAAUUCAUUCAUC
rnacentral:lncRNA from 13 species